UUUAUAAUCACAAUAACUUAGAUUUAUUUUCUCUCCACUAAACCUAAAGAAAAAUGGGGUUGUUCAACAUCUCAUUGUUACUCACUUGUCUCAUGGUAUUAGCCAUAUUUCACUCUUGUGAGGCCCAAAAUUCACCCCAAGACUAUCUUGCGGUUCAUAACGAUGCCCGUGCCCAAGUCGGAGUCGGGCCUAUGUCUUGGGAUGCCAACUUGGCAUCCCGAGCACAAAACUAUGCCAACUCAAGAGCUGGUGAUUGUAACUUGAUUCAUUCUGGUGCUGGGGAGAAUCUUGCCAAGGGUGGUGGUGACUUCACGGGGAGGGCAGCCGUGCAAUUGUGGGUGUCCGAGAGGCCAAGCUAUAACUACGCUACCAACCAAUGUGUUGGUGGAAAAAAGUGUAGACAUUAUACUCAAGUAGUCUGGCGCAACUCAGUCCGACUAGGUUGUGGUCGGGCACGUUGCAACAACGGAUGGUGGUUCAUUUCUUGCAACUAUGAUCCUGUAGGCAACUGGAUCGGACAACGUCCUUACUAAAAUGAUGUAUACUUAUGACAUGUUGCUAGUAUUAAAUAAAAUUCUCAUAUGAGACGUCGAGAAGUUAAAAUUUAAGUUUGACAUAUGAAUCAAGUCAAACUCCUAUCUAAAAUAUUAAGGGAUUAAAUAUUGAACAUCUAUAAUUAUUAUUAUUUCCCUUUUGAUGUUGCUAAUAUGAAUAAUUCCACAUACCAUAUGUUCAUAAUGGGCUUAAGUUGAUUAUUAAGUACUGCAUCUUCUUGUUUCCAUAAAACAUUAAUAUACAUAAAAUUUUAAUUAAGCAUGGCAUAUAUUAAUUAGGCACAUCAAGCACUUAUCUAAACACGUAACUAUUUAUUCAUAAAUUCAGUUUCAACCAUUCAAAAUAUUUGUUCUAUUUUAAGUGCCCAUCAAAAAAAAAUUCAAUCAUUACCCAAUUUUUUUUCAAUGACUAACAAAUACUCAAGUCUUCCAUAUUCUCUCAUACAAUAAUGGCCUAAAACUAUAUUUUCAUAAAAUAUUUUAUAGGUGAAAAUUGAAUUUCAUCCUUUCUUGACCUAUUGUCUUAGAUUUGAAUACCAGAAAUAAAAACAAAUAUUGCUAUUUAUUGAAAAAAUUUACGUAGCAUGAAAUUAAAUAAAUUGGCACAUAUUUAAAAUAUCUCGUCAGGAAAAAAAAAUUGUACCCCUAACAAACGUUUAAAUUUAAUAAUUUUCACAAAUGUUACUAAAUUUAACAAUGAGAGUUUGAUAAAUAUCUAAUCGUGAACAGAAAGUGUUCACUUUCGAAAAACAAAGAGGACCAAAAGUGAUCUAUUUUGACAAAUUUAAGGAUCAAAAUUGAUCCAAUCAUACAUUAGGGACUAUUUUGAAUCUACUAUAAAAAUGAUAAGGAACCAUUUUUUUGUUUUUUCAUUUUCUCUAUUAAGUUUCUUUGAAUUUUCUUCACACAUGCUAAACAAAAUUCCACAUAUUUACUUAUAUAUAUACUAUACUUAUCUCACAUUCAUAAUCACAAUAAUUUAGAUUUCUUUUCUCUCUACUACUCCUAUAGCAAAAUGGGGUUGUUUAACAUCUCAUUUUUGCUCAUUAGUCUCAUGGUAUUAACCAUAUUUCACACUUGUGAUUCCCAAAAUUCACCCCAAGACUAUUUUGCGGUUCACAACGAUGCCUGCGCCCAAGUUGGAGUUGGGCCAAUGUCUUAGGAUGCUUCACAACGAUGCCCGCGCCCAAGUUGGAAUUGGGCCAAUGUCUUAGGAUGCUGGCUUGGCAUCUCGAGCACAAAAUUAUGCCAACUCAAGAGCUGGUAAUUGCAACUUGAUUCAUUCUGGUGCAUGGGAGAACCUUGCCAAGACCGGUGGUAAUUUCACGGGGAGGGCCGCCGUGCAAUUGUGGGUAUCGAAAAAGCUAAACUACAACUACGGUACCCACCAAUGUGCUAGCGGGCAAAUGUGCGGACAUUAUACUCAAGUAGUUGGCGCAACUCAGUCCGACUAGGUUGUGGUCGGGUUCGUUGUAACAACGGGUGGUGGUUCAUUUCUUGCAACUAUGAUCAUGUAGGCAACUGGGCCGGAAAACGUCCUUAUUAAGGUGUCGUUUAUUUAUGACAUAUUGCUAGUAUUAAAUAAAAUUUUUAUAUUACAUGUCAAGGAGUUAAAAUUUAAAUCUGGCAAGUGGAUCGGAUCGAUCUCCUAUAUAUCCAAGAUGUUAAGGGAUCAAAUAUAUAAUUAUUGUUUUGAUUUCCCUUUGAUAUUGCUAGUAUGAAUAAUUCCACGUAUCAUAUGUUCAUGGUAUCGUGCUUAGGUUCUUUACUUUUUCAAAAUUAUGAAAUUUAUAUAUUAAAAAAUUAAGUGGAGUAAUUAAUUGGGAAAACUACAUAGAUAGAUCCAAUUAUGAAAAUUUAUCUAAUUUGGACUUUAUUCAAACUUUUUAUCUUUAAUGGAUCUAUGCCACAAACAAUUUAUCCGUUUAUCCACUUUCUCCUUUCUUAUUUCACGUAUGAUAUCAGAAUAACGUUAGCAUAACUAUUAUGAAUUUAUCUUUUGUGAUAUAUCUUGUCAGUAUCAUAUAGGAUUUAACUCUUUUUUUAAAAAUAAUUAAGAAAAAAUUAUUAAAGUCACAAUAUUAUUUACUAAACUCUACAUUAGAAGAAAUUAUAUUUUUUAAAUUAGAAUAGAGUUACCCUCAAUGAUACCAUGAUACUAUGUAGAUAUACUGCAAUUGUAUCAUGGACGAUUAAAUAUUCUCAUCGAAGGACUAAAGCGAACCAUAAUGAAAACAUUGUUCAAUUACUCAUUAAUACCAUCCGAGUAUAUUAUACUUGAUCAUAUCAAAGAGGAAGAAACAGUUCUUCAAUGAAGACAUUGUUUAAUGACACUUUUAUACCAUCAGAGUAUAUUAAUAUAUGACUGUAUUAUAUUGUGAUGAUAUAGUAUAUAAUUGUAUUUGAUUUUCAAAAUCACAGUGUAGUUUUGACGGACUCAAACUAGCAAGUCUUUUCCAAAACAAACAAGUAAUUCCAAACAAUUUGUAUUAUAUUUUAAUACGAACACAGUCAAAUAAAAAAAGAGAUAAGUGUCAUAAAUACACCUAAACUAUACAUUUUUUUGAGUUUUUUAAAAUAUUGAAAGUUUCAUUACCUAACCUAUCACUUUUUAGUUUGAGAAACACACCUCUCUCUUUUAUACCACUUUCAUCAUGAUAUGUGUAAUACACACUCUCUCUCUUUUAUUUUAAAGAAUUUUCACAUCACACUCCACAUGGACAAAAUAUUCAAUCUUGACAAAAAAUAAAUAAAUUAUUAGUAUUAGUUAAAAUUAAAAAUUAAGAAACUAUUAUAAAAAAUAAUAUUUUCUUUAUAAAAGAAAAUGUAAAAUAUUUUUCUUAUCCCGCGCUGUUUCUUAAAGUUUUUUAUUUUGUUUAAAUUUCUUUUAUAAAAGUAUUUCAUUUUUUACUUCAUCUCCUCCCCUUCAUCAAAUACUAAUUUAAGUAUUAUUGUAUUUGCUUAAAAAUAUAAUUCUACCCAUCUCACUUAAUCCUCAGCUUUCAGUUUUUUCCCCAGUGUUUAGGUAUAUAUAUAUCGAAAAUAUUUUUACUUGUUGUCAUAAGACUUUUUAUUUUUUUUAGUUGUUUAUGUUAUAUUCGGUACACUAGUAGAAUUUUUUUCUCUAAAAAUAUAUGUACGUGCAUAUCUAACACAAAAUAAGAAAAACGUAAAAAAAAAAAUUAGAAGCGAAAAAUUUAAUAGGAUGUGAUAGAUUUUCUAAAAAUAAAUAAGUAUCAAUUUCUAUCCGGGGGGGGGGGGGGUGUGGAGGGGAGGGGGUGGAUGAAAUAUGAAAUUUUUAAGAAUAUUUUAUAAAUAAUUUUUUUUUAAAAAAAAGGAUGGGGAUGUCGCGGGGGAGGGAGGGGGGUACGUAAAGAAGGUGGUGGAGUGAGAUAAGAAAAAUAAUUUAAUUUUUUAUGUGCAUAGUAAUCUUUAAUUUUUAAUUAAUAUUAAUUUUUUACUGUUUAAUUUUUAUCUAGAUAAAAUAUUUUAUCUAUGUGGAAUGUCAUGUGUCAAAGUUUUUUAAUAUAAAAGAGAGAGUACACUAUACACACCACUGAGAUGUGUUUCUCAAACUAAAACGGGAUAGUUUAAAUAUGAAACUCACACUUUCGAUAGUUUAGAUAUGAAACUAAAAAAUAAAUAAUUUAAAUUUGUUUUUGAUUCUUCUCUGUAAAAUAAAAUAAAUAUAUAUAUAUAUAUAUAUAUAUAUAUAUAUAUAUAUUAUCACCGAACAAAGGGAAAAUCAAAACUCUAAUAUAUUAUCAUUCACCGAAUCAAAAUCAGUGAAUUAAAAACUAUAUAAAAAUCCAUAAAUAAUUAUGUGAUGGAAUAGGAAUUCUACACACCAUAGUGAUUACCGUUGAACAUCUUUCGCCAAAAAAUUAUAUUUUAUAUAUAUACACGCUAGAAAUUACUUAAUGUGCGUAGAUAUAAUUAAACAUAUCAAACUAUUUAUGCUAUAUUUAAUACUUAUUUAAAUCGUAACUAUUUAUUCUAAAUUCAGCUCUAACACUUUUUAAAAAGUUUUUAAAAUUUUCUUUCGAAGCUACAAGGAUUGAGGCAGUUUCUAAUUUCCACAUAAAGGACCAAAAAAUUGUUUUGGUUUAAGUGUCUAUCACUUCCAUUGUUUGUUGUUUUCAUUAUAUCCAAAUUGCUUUCAAUGACUAACAAAUACUUGAGUCUUCUCUCUCUCAUAGAAUAACUUUCUUCCAAUAAAUCCACGUAAGGGCGGCUCAAUAAGUGUUGUUUAAUAUUAUCUAAAUAAUAGAGUAAAGUAUGAUUAUUCUUUAAAGCAUAUAGUAUUUCCUUAAUCACACGACAUGCAAUCUCCUUUGAAUUUUCUUCACAUGUGAAAUAAAAUUCCACAAAGUUUAAAUUUAACAAUUUUCACAAAUUUGAUUAAAUUGAACAAUCAAAGUUUGAUAAAUAUCUUAUCGAAACCAAAAGUGUUCACUUUUGAAAAAUAUAAAGGACCAAAAAAGAUCACUUUUGACAAUCUUAAGGACCAAAAUUGCUCUUAUCAUACAUAAGGGAGUCUAUUGAAACUACUAAAAAGAUAAGGAAGCCUUUUUGUCAUUUCUCUAUAAUUUCCUUUGAAUUUUCUUCAUACAUGCUAAACAAAAUUACACAAUGUUUAAUUAUAUAUACACUAUUUAAAGGACCAAAAGUAAUUAAUUCUAAAAAGUUUUAAGGACCAAAAUCACUUAGCAAAAUACACAAGAGACUAUUUUGAACUUACUAUCAAAGAUAAGAGACCAUUUUUAUCAUUUCCUCUACUAAUAAUUUCCUUUGAAUUUUCUUCACACAUACUUAGCAAAAUUCCACAAUUUUUACUUAUAAAUACACUACUUAUCUCACGUUUAUAAUCACAAUAACUUAGAUUUAUUUUCUCUCCACUAAACCUAAAGAAAAAUGGGGUUGUUCAACAUCUCAUUGUUACUCACUUGUCUCAUGGUAUUAGCCAUAUUUCACUCUUGUGAGGCCCAAAAUUCACCCCAAGACUAUCUUGCGGUUCAUAACGAUGCCCGUGCCCAAGUCGGAGUCGGGCCUAUGUCUUGGGAUGCCAACUUGGCAUCCCGAGCACAAAACUAUGCCAACUCAAGAGCUGGUGAUUGUAACUUGAUUCAUUCUGGUGCUGGGGAGAAUCUUGCCAAGGGUGGUGGUGACUUCACGGGGAGGGCAGCCGUGCAAUUGUGGGUGUCCGAGAGGCCAAGCUAUAACUACGCUACCAACCAAUGUGUUGGUGGAAAAAAGUGUAGACAUUAUACUCAAGUAGUCUGGCGCAACUCAGUCCGACUAGGUUGUGGUCGGGCACGUUGCAACAACGGAUGGUGGUUCAUUUCUUGCAACUAUGAUCCUGUAGGCAACUGGAUCGGACAACGUCCUUACUAAAAUGAUGUAUACUUAUGACAUGUUGCUAGUAUUAAAUAAAAUUCUCAUAUGAGACGUCGAGAAGUUAAAAUUUAAGUUUGACAUAUGAAUCAAGUCAAACUCCUAUCUAAAAUAUUAAGGGAUUAAAUAUUGAACAUCUAUAAUUAUUAUUAUUUCCCUUUUGAUGUUGCUAAUAUGAAUAAUUCCACAUACCAUAUGUUCAUAAUGGGCUUAAGUUGAUUAUUAAGUACUGCAUCUUCUUGUUUCCAUAAAACAUUAAUAUACAUAAAAUUUUAAUUAAGCAUGGCAUAUAUUAAUUAGGCACAUCAAGCACUUAUCUAAACACGUAACUAUUUAUUCAUAAAUUCAGUUUCAACCAUUCAAAAUAUUUGUUCUAUUUUAAGUGCCCAUCAAAAAAAAAUUCAAUCAUUACCCAAUUUUUUUUCAAUGACUAACAAAUACUCAAGUCUUCCAUAUUCUCUCAUACAAUAAUGGCCUAAAACUAUAUUUUCAUAAAAUAUUUUAUAGGUGAAAAUUGAAUUUCAUCCUUUCUUGACCUAUUGUCUUAGAUUUGAAUACCAGAAAUAAAAACAAAUAUUGCUAUUUAUUGAAAAAAUUUACGUAGCAUGAAAUUAAAUAAAUUGGCACAUAUUUAAAAUAUCUCGUCAGGAAAAAAAAAUUGUACCCCUAACAAACGUUUAAAUUUAAUAAUUUUCACAAAUGUUACUAAAUUUAACAAUGAGAGUUUGAUAAAUAUCUAAUCGUGAACAGAAAGUGUUCACUUUCGAAAAACAAAGAGGACCAAAAGUGAUCUAUUUUGACAAAUUUAAGGAUCAAAAUUGAUCCAAUCAUACAUUAGGGACUAUUUUGAAUCUACUAUAAAAAUGAUAAGGAACCAUUUUUUUGUUUUUUCAUUUUCUCUAUUAAGUUUCUUUGAAUUUUCUUCACACAUGCUAAACAAAAUUCCACAUAUUUACUUAUAUAUAUACUAUACUUAUCUCACAUUCAUAAUCACAAUAAUUUAGAUUUCUUUUCUCUCUACUACUCCUAUAGCAAAAUGGGGUUGUUUAACAUCUCAUUUUUGCUCAUUAGUCUCAUGGUAUUAACCAUAUUUCACACUUGUGAUUCCCAAAAUUCACCCCAAGACUAUUUUGCGGUUCACAACGAUGCCUGCGCCCAAGUUGGAGUUGGGCCAAUGUCUUAGGAUGCUUCACAACGAUGCCCGCGCCCAAGUUGGAAUUGGGCCAAUGUCUUAGGAUGCUGGCUUGGCAUCUCGAGCACAAAAUUAUGCCAACUCAAGAGCUGGUAAUUGCAACUUGAUUCAUUCUGGUGCAUGGGAGAACCUUGCCAAGACCGGUGGUAAUUUCACGGGGAGGGCCGCCGUGCAAUUGUGGGUAUCGAAAAAGCUAAACUACAACUACGGUACCCACCAAUGUGCUAGCGGGCAAAUGUGCGGACAUUAUACUCAAGUAGUUGGCGCAACUCAGUCCGACUAGGUUGUGGUCGGGUUCGUUGUAACAACGGGUGGUGGUUCAUUUCUUGCAACUAUGAUCAUGUAGGCAACUGGGCCGGAAAACGUCCUUAUUAAGGUGUCGUUUAUUUAUGACAUAUUGCUAGUAUUAAAUAAAAUUUUUAUAUUACAUGUCAAGGAGUUAAAAUUUAAAUCUGGCAAGUGGAUCGGAUCGAUCUCCUAUAUAUCCAAGAUGUUAAGGGAUCAAAUAUAUAAUUAUUGUUUUGAUUUCCCUUUGAUAUUGCUAGUAUGAAUAAUUCCACGUAUCAUAUGUUCAUGGUAUCGUGCUUAGGUUCUUUACUUUUUCAAAAUUAUGAAAUUUAUAUAUUAAAAAAUUAAGUGGAGUAAUUAAUUGGGAAAACUACAUAGAUAGAUCCAAUUAUGAAAAUUUAUCUAAUUUGGACUUUAUUCAAACUUUUUAUCUUUAAUGGAUCUAUGCCACAAACAAUUUAUCCGUUUAUCCACUUUCUCCUUUCUUAUUUCACGUAUGAUAUCAGAAUAACGUUAGCAUAACUAUUAUGAAUUUAUCUUUUGUGAUAUAUCUUGUCAGUAUCAUAUAGGAUUUAACUCUUUUUUUAAAAAUAAUUAAGAAAAAAUUAUUAAAGUCACAAUAUUAUUUACUAAACUCUACAUUAGAAGAAAUUAUAUUUUUUAAAUUAGAAUAGAGUUACCCUCAAUGAUACCAUGAUACUAUGUAGAUAUACUGCAAUUGUAUCAUGGACGAUUAAAUAUUCUCAUCGAAGGACUAAAGCGAACCAUAAUGAAAACAUUGUUCAAUUACUCAUUAAUACCAUCCGAGUAUAUUAUACUUGAUCAUAUCAAAGAGGAAGAAACAGUUCUUCAAUGAAGACAUUGUUUAAUGACACUUUUAUACCAUCAGAGUAUAUUAAUAUAUGACUGUAUUAUAUUGUGAUGAUAUAGUAUAUAAUUGUAUUUGAUUUUCAAAAUCACAGUGUAGUUUUGACGGACUCAAACUAGCAAGUCUUUUCCAAAACAAACAAGUAAUUCCAAACAAUUUGUAUUAUAUUUUAAUACGAACACAGUCAAAUAAAAAAAGAGAUAAGUGUCAUAAAUACACCUAAACUAUACAUUUUUUUGAGUUUUUUAAAAUAUUGAAAGUUUCAUUACCUAACCUAUCACUUUUUAGUUUGAGAAACACACCUCUCUCUUUUAUACCACUUUCAUCAUGAUAUGUGUAAUACACACUCUCUCUCUUUUAUUUUAAAGAAUUUUCACAUCACACUCCACAUGGACAAAAUAUUCAAUCUUGACAAAAAAUAAAUAAAUUAUUAGUAUUAGUUAAAAUUAAAAAUUAAGAAACUAUUAUAAAAAAUAAUAUUUUCUUUAUAAAAGAAAAUGUAAAAUAUUUUUCUUAUCCCGCGCUGUUUCUUAAAGUUUUUUAUUUUGUUUAAAUUUCUUUUAUAAAAGUAUUUCAUUUUUUACUUCAUCUCCUCCCCUUCAUCAAAUACUAAUUUAAGUAUUAUUGUAUUUGCUUAAAAAUAUAAUUCUACCCAUCUCACUUAAUCCUCAGCUUUCAGUUUUUUCCCCAGUGUUUAGGUAUAUAUAUAUCGAAAAUAUUUUUACUUGUUGUCAUAAGACUUUUUAUUUUUUUUAGUUGUUUAUGUUAUAUUCGGUACACUAGUAGAAUUUUUUUCUCUAAAAAUAUAUGUACGUGCAUAUCUAACACAAAAUAAGAAAAACGUAAAAAAAAAAAUUAGAAGCGAAAAAUUUAAUAGGAUGUGAUAGAUUUUCUAAAAAUAAAUAAGUAUCAAUUUCUAUCCGGGGGGGGGGGGGUGUGGAGGGGAGGGGGUGGAUGAAAUAUGAAAUUUUUAAGAAUAUUUUAUAAAUAAUUUUUUUUUAAAAAAAAGGAUGGGGAUGUCGCGGGGGAGGGAGGGGGGUACGUAAAGAAGGUGGUGGAGUGAGAUAAGAAAAAUAAUUUAAUUUUUUAUGUGCAUAGUAAUCUUUAAUUUUUAAUUAAUAUUAAUUUUUUACUGUUUAAUUUUUAUCUAGAUAAAAUAUUUUAUCUAUGUGGAAUGUCAUGUGUCAAAGUUUUUUAAUAUAAAAGAGAGAGUACACUAUACACACCACUGAGAUGUGUUUCUCAAACUAAAACGGGAUAGUUUAAAUAUGAAACUCACACUUUCGAUAGUUUAGAUAUGAAACUAAAAAAUAAAUAAUUUAAAUUUGUUUUUGAUUCUUCUCUGUAAAAUAAAAUAAUAUAUAUAUAUAUAUAUAUAUAUAUAUAUAUAUAUAUUAUCACCGAACAAAGGGAAAAUCAAAACUCUAAUAUAUUAUCAUUCACCGAAUCAAAAUCAGUGAAUUAAAAACUAUAUAAAAAUCCAUAAAUAAUUAUGUGAUGGAAUAGGAAUUCUACACACCAUAGUGAUUACCGUUGAACAUCUUUCGCCAAAAAAUUAUAUUUUAUAUAUAUACACGCUAGAAAUUACUUAAUGUGCGUAGAUAUAAUUAAACAUAUCAAACUAUUUAUGCUAUAUUUAAUACUUAUUUAAAUCGUAACUAUUUAUUCUAAAUUCAGCUCUAACACUUUUUAAAAAGUUUUUAAAAUUUUCUUUCGAAGCUACAAGGAUUGAGGCAGUUUCUAAUUUCCACAUAAAGGACCAAAAAAUUGUUUUGGUUUAAGUGUCUAUCACUUCCAUUGUUUGUUGUUUUCAUUAUAUCCAAAUUGCUUUCAAUGACUAACAAAUACUUGAGUCUUCUCUCUCUCAUAGAAUAACUUUCUUCCAAUAAAUCCACGUAAGGGCGGCUCAAUAAGUGUUGUUUAAUAUUAUCUAAAUAAUAGAGUAAAGUAUGAUUAUUCUUUAAAGCAUAUAGUAUUUCCUUAAUCACACGACAUGCAAUCUCCUUUGAAUUUUCUUCACAUGUGAAAUAAAAUUCCACAAAGUUUAAAUUUAACAAUUUUCACAAAUUUGAUUAAAUUGAACAAUCAAAGUUUGAUAAAUAUCUUAUCGAAACCAAAAGUGUUCACUUUUGAAAAAUAUAAAGGAGCAAAAAAGAUCACUUUUGACAAUCUUAAGGACCAAAAUUGCUCUUAUCAUACAUAAGGGAGUCUAUUGAAACUACUAAAAAGAUAAGGGACCCUUUUUGUCAUUUCUCUAUAAUUUCCUUUGGAUUUUCUUCAUACAUGCUAAACAAAAUUACACAAUGUUUAAUUAUAUAUACACUAUUUAAAGGACCAAAAGUAAUUAAUUUUAAAAAGUUUUAAGGACCAAAAUCACUUAGCAAAAUACACAAGAGACUAUUUUGAACUUACUAUCAAAGAUAAGAGACCAUUUUUAUCAUUUCCUCUACCAAUAAUUUCCUUUGAAUUUUCUUCACACAUACUUAGCAAAAUUCCACAAUUUUUACUUAUAAAUACACUACUUAUCUCACGUUUAUAAUCACAAUAACUUAGAUUUAUUUUCUCUCCACUAAACCUAAAGAAAAAUGGGGUUGUUCAACAUCUCAUUGUUACUCACUUGUCUCAUGGUAUUAGCCAUAUUUCACUCUUGUGAGGCCCAAAAUUCACCCCAAGACUAUCUUGCGGUUCACAACGAUGCCCGUGCCCAAGUCGGAGUCGGGCCAAUGUCUUGGGAUGCCAACUUGGCAUCCCGAGCACAAAACUAUGCCAACUCAAGAGCGGGUGAUUGUAAUUUGAUUCAUUCUGGUGCUGGGGAGAACCUUGCCAAGGGUGGUGGUGACUUCACGGGGAGGGCAGCCGUGCAAUUGUGGGUGUCCGAGAGGCCAGACUAUAACUACGCUACCAACCAAUGUGUUGGUGGAAAAAUGUGUGGACAUUAUACUCAAGUAGUCUGGCGCAACUCAGUCCGACUAGGUUGUGGUCGGGCUCGUUGCAACAAUGGGUGGUGGUUCAUUUCUUGCAACUACGAUCCUGUAGGCAACUGGGUUGGAGAACGUCCUUAUUAAAGUAUCGUCUAUUUCUGACAUGUUGCUAGUACUAAAUAAAAUUUCCAUAUUACAUGUCUAGGAAUUAAAAUGAUAAGUGGAUCGGAUUGAUAUCCUAUUAUUAUUGUUGUUGUUGUUGUUUCCCUUUGAUGUUGCUAGUAUGAAUAAUUCCACGUACCAUAUGUUCAUGGUAUCGUGGCUUAGGUUCUUUACUUUUUCAAAAUUAUGAAAUUUAUAUAUUUAAAAAUCAAGUAGUGUUAAUAAUAUAUAGGACCUAUCCACAAACUAUUUACCUGCUUACCUCACUUUCUCCUCUCUUAUUUCGCGCAUGAUAUCAGAAUAAUGUUAACAUCACUGCAAUGAAUUAAUUUUUUGUGGUCUAUUGAUACCCUGUCGGUAUCAUAUAGGAUUUAACUCUUUUUUUAAGAAAUAACGAAGAGAAAAGUAUUAAAGUCACAAUCUUAUUUAUUAAACUCUAAAUUAGUAGAAACUAUGUUUUUCAAAAUUAAAAAAUUGAAGAGUUAAAACAUAUACCUCAAUGAUAUUAUGUAGAUAUACUGUAAUUGUAUCAUACAAUAUUCUCAUCGAAGGAUUAAAGCAAACCAUAAUGAGAACAUUGUUAAAGUACUCAUUAAUACCGUAUUCAUAUACAACUGUAUUAUACUUAGCCUUCUUUCUCUCUCAUAGAAUAAUUUUCUUCCAGUAAUUUCACGUAAGGACGGUUCAAUAAAAUCGAUAAUUUAAAAUCAAUUUUUAAUAAAAUAGUUUAAAGCUAAAUAAAACUUAAUAGCUUUUUCUCUUGAUCAGAGAUCUUGAGUCCUAAUCUCAAAAUGAAAACAAAUAUUGCUAGAGCACUUCUUCCUUUAAAGAACCUUUCUCUGACAUGAAAUUGAAUUAAUCCUAACUCCAACAUAGAUUCUAAAUUUGUCAUCGCGUGAGAAAAAUAAAAAAAAUUGAACCCUAAAAAAAAUUAUCCUAAAAAGUCCUUCGUUACUAAGUCUUGUUGAAUAUUAUUUGAAUAAUAGGGUAGAGUAUAACUAUUCUUUAAAUCAUAUAGUAUUUCUCUAAUCACACAACAUGCAAUGUAAUUAACAACCUCCUUUGAAUUUUCUUCACAUGUGAAAUAAAAUACCACAAAGAUUAAAUUUAACAAUUUUCACAAAUUCGAUUAAAUUUAACAAUCAAAGUUUGAUAAAUAUCUUAUCAAAACCAAAAGUGUUGACUUUUGAAAAAUUUAAAGGACCAAAAAAGAUCUCUUUUGACAAUCAUAAGGACCAAAAUUGCUCUUAUCAUACAUAAGGGACUCUAUUGAAACUACUAAAAAGAUAAGGGACCAUUUUUGUCAUUUUUUCUAGAAUUUCCUUUGAAUAUUUUUCACACGUGUUAAACAAAAUUAUACAAUGUUUACUUACAUAAACACUAUUUAUCUGAUGAUUAUUCAUUUGUCUCCAAUGCAUCCGCGAACUUCUUUUUUCUUUGGGUAAUGGAGAGAAACUUAUUUUCUUGAAUUGCUCAGUGAGCUUUUUAAGAUAAACAUGAUAUGUCAAAAAAAUUUCAUAUUUGAUUUUUCGAUGCUCAAAAUUUACCCUAAAAUAAUUUUGCAAUUCAUAUCGAUGCUUGUGCCUAAGUUGGGGUGGGGCUAAUUGCAACAACGAAAGGUGAUUCAUUUCUUGCAAUUAUGAUCAUGUAGAUAACUGGACAUGACAACAUUUUUUAUUAAAACGUAUUUACUUCUAAUAUGUUAUUAAUAUUAUAUGUUAAUGGUAUAGUGGGACUUGUUCACAUUGAAUUAUGAAUACAUAAAUUUAUUCCUAUUUUACCUUUAUAAAAUUUAUCUUUUCUUUAUUAAGAUUAAAAUACGAUAUUUGUGUUACUUAACUCAAAUAUGUCUAGUUUUGUAAAAAUUUAAUAGAAGAAUUGUAUAAGAAAACCAAUUAGUACCUUUGUUCCAAUAUGUGUCAAGAUUUCGAGUAUGAAUUUUAAAAUGCUAUUUUUUUUUGUAUGAAGUUGGACAUAGAUUCUUUAUUUCUUUAGAAUUAUAAAAUAUACGUAUUCAAAAUUUAAGUGGUCGUAAAUUAAUACAAAAGUCAAGAGAAAACUCUUCAAUUACAUAAUGGAAUAUGAAUUUCACGCAUCAGAUCUUUGAACACUUUAAUUGAAAAAUUAUGUACAAUAUAUCCGUUCAAAACUACUUUAUGCGCAUAUAUAUAUUGAUUAACCAUAUCAAUUUUUUUAUUCUCUACUUAUUACUUAUCUAAACACCUAACUAAUUAUUCAUAAAUUCAACUUCAACUCUUCUUAAACGUUUUAAAAAUUAAUAAUUCCCAUUUGAAGCAGCCAUGAUGUGAGGCAGUUAAUUUCUACACAAAGAACCACAUAUUUAAGUGUCCACCACUUUGUUUAUUAUGUUUUCAUUAUAUCCAAAUUGCUUAAUUUCAAUGACUAACAAAAGAAUAAUUUUCUUUUGAUACAUUCAAGGCGGCUCAAUAAUAUUGAUGACCCAAAAUCAAUUUGUCAUAAAAUAUUUUAUAGGUAAAAACUGAAUUGCAUCCUUUUUCUAUUAGAGGUUUUGAAUACAAACCCCGAAACAUAGAUAAAUAUUAUUUAGAUUGAAUUUUCCUUUAAAAAAGCUUACGUGAUGCAAAUUAAAUUAAUUAAGACUCCAAAACACAUUUCGAAUAUCUAAAUUAAAGUAUGACAAUUAUUUAAAGUAUAUAGUAAUCCCUAAAUCACACGAUAUGGAAGGUAUUGAUCACAUUUGAAAUUUUCUUCACAUUAUUAAAAUUCCACAAUGUUUGAAUAAUACAAUCAAAGUUAGAUAUAAAGAAAAAAAAAUAUUCAUUUUUUGAAAAAACUUAAAAAGGACCAAAAGUAAUUAAUUCUAAAAAGUUUAAGGACCAAAAUUGCUUAGCAAAAUUCCACAAUUUUUACUUAUAAAUACACUACUUAUCUCACAUUUAUAAUCACAACAACUUAAAUUUAUUUUCUCUCAAAGCAAAAAUGGGGUUGUUUAACAUGUCAUUGUUACUUAUGACUUGUCUCAUGGUAUUAGCCAUAUUUCACUCUUGUGAUGCUCAAAAUUCACCCCAAGACUAUCUUGAGGUUCACAACGACGCCCGUGCCCAAGUCGGAGUCGGGCCAAUGUCUUGGGAUGCCGACUUGGAAUCCCGAGCACAAAGCUAUGCCAACUCAAGAGCGGGUGAUUGUAACUUGAUUCAUUCUGGUUCAGGGGAGAAUCUUGCCAAGGGUGGUGGUGACUUCACGGGGAGGGCCGCUGUGGAAUUGUGGGUGUCGGAAAAGCCAAACUACAACUACGAUACGAAUGAAUGUGUUAGCGGAAAAAUGUGCGGACAUUAUACUCAAGUAGUCUGGCGUGACUCAGUUCGACUAGGUUGUGGUCGGGCUCUUUGCAACGACGGGUGGUGGUUUAUUUCUUGCAACUAUGAUCCUGUAGGCAAUUGGGUCGGACAACGUCCUUACUAAAAUGUUUUUUUUUUUUUGUAUGAUGUGUAAGGGAUCAAAUAAUUAUUAUUAUUUCCCUUUGAUGUUUGCUAGUAUGAAUAAUUCCACAUACCAUAUGUUCAUGGUAUAGUGGGCUUAAGUUGAUAAUAAAUAAAGUUUUUCCUAUUUUAUUAAAUAAGAUUAAAAUACAUGGCAUAAUGGUAAAAUAAUUAUUGUCUUAUGCAAAUUACGAGAGUUAAAUUAUUAAUUUUUUUAAGUGUAAAGACGAUCAUAGAUUCUUUAUAUCUUAUAAAAUGAAUUAUAUAUUUAAAAACGGUUUGAAAUGAUAUAUAAGUAGAGGCGGAUCUAGGAUUUGAAGGUAAUGGGUGUCAUAUCGUUAAGUCUCAAUCGUUUGUGAUUUUUCAUCACAUAUGCAAUAUUAUAAUAAUGUUUAUUAAAGUCAAACGUAGUCCAUGACUUAAUGGUAUUAACAUUGUCUUGUCAUGUUUGGAUUAGCGUUUGAGUCGAAGCGUCAACAUUAUUAUUUUGCAAAAGAAAUGGAAAAUGCAUUAAAAAUGAGCAAUAUGAGAAUCGAACAGGCACCAUGUGCCUACUUGUGUCCAGGGGUGACAGAUUAGUUUUUCAUAAGUUUUAUAUGCAUAAAUAUAUACAUACACAUGUAUACAUAAAAUUUCAACCAAGAUCAUUGGAUGCCGUGACACCCUACCAUGAUACAUAUAUCCGCCCCUGCACAUAAUUAAGUUAACAUUGUGAGUCCUUGUGUACGAAGUCACAUUUGUUCAAAAAUUUCUUAUCUCUUAUAUGAGAUUUUUCUAUGAGGAUCUAAAUUUAAGCGAAUCAUUCUUAACUGAAUGUCUUAUAUUCGAAUCGUAGAUAUAUAUAGAGUUGUAGUCGAGAAAAAACGAUUUACCCUCACAUACUUUAUUAUUCCAAUGGAGAGAAUAAUUUUUCAAAAUAAACCAAGACCAUGAAUUAACUAAUAUAUGUCCUAUUUAGGGUUGCAUGUAAUUGUAAUAUUUCUAGAAUAAUUUUAGAUUAAGUUAAUUAAUCCCUUUAGUUACCCAAUAAUACUGCAAUUUGAAUGACCUAGACUUGAAAGUUGCAAGCUUUUUCCAAAACAAUAAUUUACUCUAAUUUAAAUGCAGUCAAAUAAAUACAAUUAUAUUUUAUUAAGAAUUCAAGGAGUUAAAUUCUACUUCUCUUUGGGUUUUUUCUCCUCUGAUUUCUUUAAGUUCUUGUUUGGACGUCAGACACAUGACAUAGAUAAAAUUAAUAGAAAAUAUUUAAUUGAUUAAAAUAAAAAUUUUAAUUUCUAAUUUAAAUAACUAAUAUUUCAUAAAAAUAGUAAUGUCGCAAUCAUAGAAAUAUAUUAGAUUUCCAUAAAUAGUUUUAUAAUUAAGGAAUGAAAUCUUAUUUAAUAUAAGAACGUAUGCUUAAUUAAAUUGUAAAUAUUAAUUUUUAACCAAUUAUUUUGUUUGUGUGUGUUUUGUUUAUUAAAUGAGAUUUAAACAUCAUAUAUCAGUAUAUACGUAUAAUAACAUAAUAUUAUAAUAGUCAUGAAAUUUUCAGACAAACACUCUUACUAGAUAGUUGUGAUCACAAGGUUGAUAAAACGAGGUUUAAGAAAAAUAUAAUAUAGGAUAGAGAGUUUAUUUCUGACAUUCAACAGACAUAAUUAGACAAGCCAAUUAACUCCAACAAACAUCAAAUAAAGUCACUACUAUAGAAAUUGACAUCAAAUGCAUUUUUUCACCAACACAAUGACCAAAUUCUAAAAAAGGAAAGGAUUUAAAGUUGGAUGACAUAAUAUAUGAACGUGUUUUUCAACUUGGCCUUAAUUAAUAUUUAUAUCUUCAAACUUUACAUAUGCAUAAAUAAAUACUUAAAAACUUAUAUAAAAUUGAAUAAGUAAAUACACAUGUCCUACUGAUACAUAUGUUAAUGUCGCCUUAUCAAUACACCUUCAAUUAUUUGAUGAAAGAUUUUUGCUUUAAUUUAGAAAACCCAUUCUACUCCCCAACAGUGAUGGCAAACUGAGUUCAUUUCUCAUAUAGUUACUCAAUUAAUGGUCAUAUUAAAAAUCAAGCCUUUCGUUUUAAAAUAAUUAAGACAGUUUAUUUUUUAAUAUCUGGAUGACAAUUGAUGAUUGUGUUGGUGAUGGUGGCUGACGAUAAUAAUUAAAAGUGGACGUUGUUGAUCGUGGUGGUUGGUGAUGACAACUAAUAAUUAUAAUGGAUAAUAGUAACAACUAAUGGUGAUGGUGAAUGAUGUAUAGCGUGGUGGUCGAUUGUGUUGAUUUUCGUAAGUGACUAAUGAUUUUAGUGGAGAUGAUCGUAUAUGGUGUCUAAUAGUUAUGACUUGUGACAACUGACUUAUAUACAUGAUUGGCGAUGGUGAUAGUUAUGACUAAAGAUGAUGGUUUAUAAGUGGUAAUUGAUAAUGGUGAACGACGAUUAACAACAAACCUAGAUAGGAGUAAUAAUGAAUUAUAUAUAUAGACAUCUUAUUAAUAUAACAACUCAGUAAUUAUAUAUAUAUAUAAUGUUAUUAAUACAUAGAAAGUUGGAAUAUUUUAGGUGUACCUACAAUAUGCUACCAAUAGAGUAGCAAAAUGACAAAAGUUUAAAAUUAUUAAUGUCUUUUAUUUCUCUAACGUUUAAUUGACUACUGACUCAAAACGUCAAAUAAAAGUAGUUAAACCUCAUCAAGAAACAGUAUUUUCUUUAUUAUACAACACAUGUGUAACGCCAUACAUUAAAUUUUCUGUUUCUCUUUUCUUGUUUUUAUAUACAAAAACUUAAAUCGUACUAUCCAAAAAACCUUGUCAUAUUCGACCGGCCGGCCGGUCAACAUAAUCAGAGAGACUUUGGUUACUAGCAAACGAUAUAUUCUCCAAAAAGAACUCAUAAUCAAACAGCUCGUACUAUUGAAGUACCAUACAAAAAUAAAUACAGGGCAUUUUUUAUGGAUACUCCGAAAUCGAAUCAUCAAAGAAGAGGGAGUUCUUCUCCUUUCUUGAUGUCUCAAACACUAUGGUCAUCAACAGAAAAAACAUGCAGAUCAGGAUUGAUCAGAUCAAAUGAUGAAAAAGGGGUAAAUGUGAAAGUUGUAUUGCGUUGCAGGUAUGAACAAGUUGAAAUUUUUUCCAUCGCUAAUUCUACGCGUUCAUACGAUAACUAUACCUUAAUUUCAAGAAAAUUGGGAAUCCUUACUGUCCUAAGUGUAUUGGCAAUAAGGUCACAUGUUUGGAGCUCUACAUGUUCUUAAUAUUUGCUUUACUUGACUCGAGGUGUCUAUCAGAAACAGUUUUUCUACCUUCACAAGGUAGGGGUAAGGUCACCUAUACACCACUCAACCCAGACUCCACUUGUGGGAUUACGCUAGGUUUAUUGUUGUUGUUAUGUUCUAAUAUUAAAGAUAAUGUAGUAUAUAACACUACAAGCAAGACGUGUAGGUGGAUAGACUCAUAAACUUACCAUAGAGACUUACUCGUCUUUCAGGCCACCAAAUGAGGAUGAAAUGAAGAUGAAAGGCCCUUUGGUGAUCUCAUGCGACGAGCUGAAACAAGAAGUCACUGCAACAUUGAACACAACUACUAAGCAAAUAAACAAAUCAUUUCUAUUUGAUAAGGUUAUAUAUAUAUAUAUAUUUCAUUAUUACGAAAAAUUGUGUAGUAACGUUGAUAAGGACCCCUUUAAUGCCACAAUAUUUGUUAGGUUUGUGGUCCAUCAACUCAGCAAAAGGACUUCUAUGAUCAGUCUGUGGCUCCUCUUGUUAAUGAGGCGCUCGAAGGAUAUACUUGUACUAUUUUUGCUUAUGGCCAAACUGGAACAGGAAAAACUUACACAAUGGAAGGGGAAGCAAUUAAAGAGAAGGUUCUUUCUGAUUCUUUCUUCGUCUUCCCCUCCCCCCCCCCCCCCCCCCUCCAAAAGGUAACAGAGGCGGAGAAUAGCUCAAUUGGUUGGCUACCUGAACUUUCACCUUGUUGAUGAGAGUUCGAUUCCCCAAUGACAGGGGCGGAUUCAGGAUUUGAAGUUUGUGGGUUUUGAACUUGCCACCGAACUUGUAGCUCAAUUGAGUUACUAAGUUCGUUAUUAAAUAUUUAUACAUAUUUAAUGAAGCUCCCUAAUACAAAAGCUAUUUGGUUCGUCAAAACUCUUAACUUAUAUUGUAGCUCCGCCCCUGAUUUUGUUGGCUUUUAUCGUUUUUACAUCCUAUUUUAAUGUUGAUGGUUGUAGAAUGGGGAGUUUCACAAGAAUGCUGGAGUAAUACCUAGAGCAGUCCAAGAGAUUUUUGACAUUUUGGAGUCUCAAAAGGCUGAGUACACUAUGAAAGUUGCAUAUAUAGAAAUUUAUAAUGAGGAGAUAACAGAUCUUCUUUCCCUGGACGAGGAAUCAAAACCGAUAGAUGAGAAGCAGAGAAAGCCGUUAGCUCUUAUGGAGGAUGGAAAAGGCGCAGUUUUCAUUAGAGGUUUAGAAGAGGUGACAGUAUCAACUGCAGAUGAAAUAUACAAAAUUUUGGAGAAAGGGUCUGCUAAUAAGCAUACAGCUGAAACGCUACUUAAUAAACAAAGCAAUAGGUCUCAUUCGAUAUUUUCCAUCACCUUACAUGUUAAGGAAUGUACUCAAGAGGGACUAGAGCUGUUAAAGUGUGGAAAACUGAAUCUUGUUGACCUAGCUGGAUCCGAGAACAUUUUACGUUCUGGUGCAAAAGAGGUACACUAAGAGCCUGUUUGGCUCAGCUUAAAAGUUGGUCAAACUGACUUAAAAGCUGGUUUUUGACUUAUUUAACUGUUUGGCAAUACUCAAAAUAGCUUAUUUUAAGUUAAAAAAAACUUAUUUUAAGCCAAAAGUUAAAAGCUGGGGUAGGGGUGCUUUUUUUUUUUUAGCUUAUAAGCUAUUUUAAGUUGACCACAUGUUUAUGUUUUUUCCCUUAAUAUUUUUAUACAAUCUUCAAAUUACCCAUAUAACCCUAGCAUCUCUUUCUUCUAUUUUUCCUUUUUCACGUUUGGCAUAACAACUUCAGCACUUUUAUCCAAACGCAUAACUGCUUAUUUUAAAAAUAAGUUUCAGCACUUUCAAAAGUACUUUUUUAAAGCUGCUUUUAUUAAACCUAUCCAAACGGGCCCUAAUGAAACUUCUCAGAAUAAUAGGAAGUAGUUAUUAUAUCAUUUCACAAAUGCACUAUCACGUCAGCUGAAAGAUAAAUGCAGGUAGCUCAUAAUAAGUAGAACUACUUACCUGGAAAAUAAUGCUGACAACCUGCCAUAACAUGUUAGAUUACACUGAUAGUAUAAAGAUUAUUUACAUCGUCACCGUAUAUAAGUUAAAUCGCUCAGUUUAUUAUAGUGAGAUUCGAGGUUCAUAAGCACAUUUACUUCUCUAAAAUACAGGGAAGAGCAAGGGAGGCUGGCGAGAUAAAUAAGAGCUUGCUUACCUUGGGCAGGGUCAUCAAUGCCUUGGUUGAUCACUCUGGACAUGUUCCAUACAGGUAUAGAACAUAUUUAGUCAUUACAUAUACAUUGCAACGGAUGUUAUAAUACAGAAGCAGCAAUUGUAAAAUAAGUCUCGGGAUAUCAGGGAUAGCAAGUUGACAAGGUUUCUGAGGGAUUCGUUAGGAGGAAAAACAAAGACAUGCAUAAUUGCCACAGUUUCACCGUCCAUCCAGUGCUUGGAAGAGACUCUCAGUACUCUAGAAUAUGCUAAUCGUGCCAAGCAAAUUAAAAACAGGCCAGAGGUAGUCAAUUUUAUUCUUUGGAGACUUGUUAUGAUUAUAGAUGACCAUGUAUUUCAUUCUCAAGUAUAUUCCCAGGUUAACCAGAAGCUGACAAAAUCUGCCCUAAUCAAAGAUUUGUAUGUGGAGAUGGACUGCCUAAAGCAAGGUUAAAAUGAGAUUUAUAGUUAAACAAUUUAUUAGUUUAUGUGGUAUUAUAACAGUAGGCAUUGAAGGAAUACGGUUUGUCUCCAUGUGACCUAUAGGUCAGGGGUUUGAGCCGUGGUAAUCAACCACUGAUGCUUGCAUCGGGGUAGGAUGCCUACACCACACCCCUUAGGGUGUUGCCCUACACCCGAACCUUGUGUGAGUACAGGAUGCUUCAUGCACUUUAUAACAUAAGUGAUUCUUCUUUGCUCUGCAGAAUUACAUGCAACGAGGGAGAAGAAUGGAAUCUACAUACCUCAAGAUCGUUACCUGAGUGAAGAAGCAGCUCAUAAGGUGCUAUUACCAUCAAUAUAUCUGGAGAGCUACUCUUGAUCUAUAAAAUAGUAACAAACUUUAUAACUCGAAUGCUUCUUCCUUUUUCCCCCUUUUUAGGCGAUAGUUGAGAAACUGAAGUUCACAGAACUUGAUUUAGAGUCCAAAAAUAAGGUAAGUAUUACCUGGUCUAUCUUGUAGGCAGCUUAUGCAAGUUCUAAUUUAUUCCAAGAUAAUAGAGAAGUUAAACAUUCUGAACAGAAACUGAUAGAGCUUCAGGAUCUUUAUGAUAAUCAGCAACAACUGACAGCAGAUUUAACUGAACAACUUCAGAGAACUCGGGUAGGAUGUUACUUGAACAAGUUACUAUACGUCUCUCUCUUUUACCAUGAUAUCAAGAACCUACAAGAUAAUUAAACUUUCCAGCAUCUAUUUUAUGACAGAGAGAACUAAAGAAAGCAGAACAAGCUUUCUAUGAUCUAGAAGCUCAAAAUAGGCGAGCGAAAGAAGUGAUUCAAGAGAAGGAUUCUCUAGUAUCCGACCUCAUUAAAUCUGGUAAGAAGUGUGUUCCAAACAUAUAAUUGAAAUACAAAGAUGAUCCAAAGCUUUCCUGAAUCCUUACACCAUGUACGAAUAAAUAUGUAUCUAUUAACGGCUCAUAGGAGAGAAGUUUAUUCUUGAAAUUAUUGAAUCUGCAUAUUUUACCUCUGGUUAUUCAGAAAAGGAAAUGACUAAUAAAGCACUUGAGUUUCGAGCUGAAGUAGAGAAUGCAGAAUCAGAGAUAUCCAGCUUGUUCGCCAAAAUUGGUCCGCACUACUACCUCUUCUGGUCUUUAGUCUUUAUCUGGUUAAGAUCAGUUUCUUCUUCUAACAUAUGUUUAUUAUAAUACAGAAAAAGGCAACAGUAGAGAGGAAAGAAACAGAAUCCUUGUGCAAAGCUACCGCAGCAAAUUAACUCAGCAGCUUGAAAUUUUAAAGAGAAAAACAGCAAAUUCUGUAAGCAAACAAGAGCAGCAAUUGAAUGUAAUAUUAGAAGAUAUGCAAUCCUUCUUAGCUACUAAAAGAAGGGUACAGUGAAAUUCUUUCGACAUACGGUACUCUGAUAAUCUGUGACCUGAAAAUGGAACUUAUCUAAUCUUGAAUUUACGGACAGGCUACAGAUGAAUUGAAGGUUCAGCUCCAGAAGCUGAAAGACAAUUAUAACUCCGAUAUCCAGAAUUUAGCUGUUCCAGCCCGAGAUCUUCAUGAAAAUUCUCAGCUAGCUUUAAGCAAAGUGAAUUCAGCAAUAUCAAAGCAUUCUUCUGCUUUUACAGAUGUAAGAGUGGAUACUUCUUUCAGUCAGCAUUACUUUCUUUCCACCCUUCCGUCACUCAAUUUUGCCAGCAUACUUGUGCAGCUUGUUGGAAAGAUUUCCGCUGAUGUUAAUGCUAUACUCAACGGUCUGCAAGGUAAUAUUCGGGAACUUGAGGUGAAGAUAAAUGCCUUUGUGCGACAAGAGCAACAGGUACAUAAGCAUGCUAUAAAUUUUCUUCCAGAUACUCUUAAUUUUGUGUAUCCAACUUCGUUUAUUUUCUCUAUCAUCAGUAUCAAACAAGAAGAUAUCAUGAAAUUCAAGUUACCUCUGAAGUUCUCCUCAACUUUUUCAAGACCUUGAAUACAUGUAUUUCAAAAUUGAGACUAAUGGAUGAAAAAUCACAAUCAAUUAAUGAUCAGCAACUCUGUGCUCUUGAGGAGAAGUUUGAGGUAUUUGUUCGUUGUUCCGGACCCUCCAACUAUGAAGAUAUUGGUCUUGGUUUCUUUUCACCCUUUGAGUUAUUUCUAUAGGAGCUGGCUGCAAGUGAAGAACAUCAACUCAUAGAAAAAGUUGCAGAGCUUAUAUUAGCUUCCAAUACUAAGAAGAAAAGGCUGGUAUGUGCUUCUUCAUUGCAACUUGUACAAACCUUUUAUGGUAUUAGAGGCAGCCUUACCCCGUAUUUCAGCAAGAGGUUGUUUCCACAGCUCAAACCCAUGACCUCCAGGUCAUAUGGCAACAACUUUACCAGUUACGCCAAGGCUCGCCUUCAACUAAAUAAUUAGAAUUUAUACUAAAGAAUCACAGCUGAGAAUGCUUUUCCAUGAAGGUUUAUAUUGUCAAUGAUAUUCAUACCAAUAUCAUAGCUUUUUUAUGGAUUUUCUUAUUCUUAAAAGCAUGGAAUUACUGCAGGACUAUCUCUUUCAGGGAGAAAUUUAUCAAAUAUACUUCCAUUUUUUUCGUUUCUUUAGGUUCAAACAGCAGUCAAUGACCUUAGAGAGUGCUCUAAUAUCAAAACCAGAAAUCUAAAUGCUGAGUUCUCAAACAUACAAGAUUGUGCUAAUUCUGCCUAUGAAGAGUGGACAAACUACAUUGAAAGCACAGAAGCCCAUCAUAUCGAGGAUUCAACUAGAUUGGAAUUUUGGAAAAGUAGCCUAGCAGGAAACAUCUAUUGCUGGUUGAGUUGGUUUCGAUGAUAUAAAAUUUAUAAAUAUUGCACUGUAUUUUGCAUUGUAUACCUUUAGUCAAGCUAUUAUAUUUCUCAUCUUGAAUUUCAGCUUAACAAAAUCAAAGGGGAUCGAAGAUGGAUGGAGAAAUGCCCAAGAAUCCCUUCAUUCCCAAGAAACAAGAACCAUCAACUCAGUCGAUUCUAUUGUUAAGUGAGUUAUCAUUUUCAGAUGAAUCAACUACCAUCUGAGGACUUUUUUUACAUUUUUACCUCGAUAUGUUCAGGAGUGCUAUGGAAUCUAAUGGAAAGAUCGGCUCUCAAUUUUCCUCCACCGUGACUUCCAUACUAGAAGAAACAUCUAUUUCCAAGAGGAAUCUUCUUUUUGUUAUGGAAAGUAUGUUGUCUGAAUAAAUAGUGUUUCUUCCUCUGAUGUUACAAGUGAACAAACUCGAGGUUUAUUGCCACAGACUAAUAGAGUUAAAGUUGCUGUAGGUUUGCUGAAACUUGAUCAUGAUGAAUGUGAGAAGAUCUGUUCACUUAUUCAUCCUUGUGUUGAGGAUAUGAAACAGAUGAAAGACAGUCAUUCAUCCGAAGUAUCAGAGAUAGCGGAAAAUGCAGGAAAAGUAUUGACAGAUGAGUAUAAGGUUAAAGCUCAGAAAACUAUGCAAGUAUUUUUGAAUUAAAACUAAAAAGCAUAAUACUCAAAUUCACACAAUGCUAUUACAAUCUGUAUUUCUGAACGGUUUAAAUUUUCUCUCUUCAUCAUUCAGAAAAACCUCCACUUAGAAAAUCUAACGCCAACUCUUUCUCCUGUAUAGAAAGAAUACCAAUUUAAUGGAAAUUAUCAUUAAUAGAAUUUCUCAAUAACUAGGUUGAUGAACUGUCAAGCUCAACCCUGAGGAGGAAAAGAGUUAACGUGCCAAGUAGGGAAUCUAUUGAAAAUCUCAGAACUCCUUUUCUCGAAGAGUCACUCAAGUCAUUUCAAGGCAAUGGAAUAGCAAACAGAGCUAACAGAAAUGUUAAUGCAACCAAAGGUGGAUGAGGAAAUUCAGUUGGAUUCCAGAUGUUCCUAUUUCGAAGUAGGAUAACUGAUUUAGAGAUUGAUCAAUCGAGGUUUAUAUCUAUUAGUGGUAACCGGAUGUAGUGUUUUAGUAAAAGAACUAUGGCAUGUCAUCAUAUGAAUUGGAUCCUCAGAAAAUAAAAUCAAUGUUUCUUUACAUCUAAGUGUUCUAGUCAUAUUAAAAAUACGUACAUUUGAAACAGCAUACUAAUGUGUACAAUAAAAAUACAAUAUGUUAGUAUUCAGUGCAUUAUACUUGAAAUUUCCACUUUGAUAUAGGAUAAACAACGGUCUUGAAAUUUAGAACUGAUGUAUUAAUCUUUAACAGCAUUCCUACAUAGGCUGCUGAACAAUUACACUACAAAACAAACAAUAUAAUGGGCAAAAACUCACAAAUGCAUAGUGAUGACUGAUGCAAAGGUGUGAACCUGUAUAGCCACCUUAGAUCAAUUCAGUCUAAAGCCUAUGUUGCAAUCUCCUCCCAGAACACUUUAAGAAACUCCUUCUAACAUAGCUGGCUUCCAUUUAUGCCUUCUAGUUGCAAUGCAGCGCUCAAAUUUAAGAGUUUGCUUAUUAUUAGCCCUCUGACUACUCUUUACGCACCAUGUAGUUUCAUACUGGAAAUCUGUUUUUCUUGUCGAUGACCAUUAAUCCUAUGCAGUAAUCACCUUCUUAGAGCACAUGGUCCAAAGCUUCACUUACAGUUUAGUGAACUUCACUAGUAUUGAGGCGGUCAUUUGGGCUUGAGAAUAUGGUUACCACCUGGGGCUGCAUAUGAGAAAGCCUUAUCAGGCAUCAAGUACCUCGGACCUGCUUUCUGAAAAUACAAGCUUUACUUCCUCACUUCAAGGGAGCUAAUGGUUCAGAGAGUUACAACUCGUGAUUCUUGUAAUCUGCCGCUUCAGUUGGUUACACUGCAUCAAUUCCUUAGGUGGUAUAAGAAGCUGUAAGUUUUAUGGAAGUGUCUUGUGGCCUUCCAUUAAGCCAGUAAAGCAAAGAACAAAAAAUUUCACAAGACUUUUGCAUGAAGGCUGCCUCAGGCAGUGCUUCUUCCUCCACAAGGUGACCAUUUACUGGUAUGGAGUUGCCUACCCACUACUAGAUUUUGCUGUGCCUUUCAUUCAGUGAAAGACCCUUCUCAAUGUUAUUCUUGAUGAGAACACUCUCAGAACUCCACUUACCAUAUCCUGAAGUGAUCCUCUCAAGAAUACUGAAGUCUCGAGGACACAAUCUCACACUCUGUGAACUUUCAGGUGCUGUAAUAAUACCUCUCAAUCACCAGGCUAUUAUUCUUCAGGUGUGCAAAUUGAACAUAACAAAGAUGUAUGACUGAAAAGUGAUACUGGGGGUUUACAAGAGCGAGAUGCUGUUUCUUGUGUGUCUACACAUCAAAACAGUAAAUAUCUUCCUCAUUCACUCCUUAAAAACAGUAGAGCCAUCCUGAAAUUUGAGUUCCAAAUUUUGAUUGCAAUUCUAACUUCUUUUCCCUGAUGCUAUCUUCAUAUCUUUUUUUAUUUGGCAGCAAUCUUCAGUUAAUCGGAAAUAUGAAAUACAUCUCUAUAUGAAACGACAACUUGUUCUUUGGAAAACAGCAAACUGCUUUGACCAUUUGUACAAGAAUAUCUGCUGCUUCAGUGUCUCUCUAGUCAAGCAUGUCUCUGGAUAGCUAUUUGGCAAAUUUUUGUUUUCACUUUCCAGACCUCGUAAUUUCUAGAAAACCAACUCAAGGACCUACAUAAGUAAAAUCUGAUUAUGUAAAGGUGCAACUCCACAAUGUGGACACUGCAAGAAGCGUAUAUCCAAUAGUCAUCCUGUCCAAAUGUUUUACCUCUAAAACUUAACUCUGGAGGGGCAAAUAAUCAUCAUCCAGCAUCUGCAGCCAUAGUUCAUCUAGCAUGGAGUAUAUGCUGUCCCUUUCUGCAUGCAUACAGUCCUCAGCCAAGAAGACAUGGAUCCGGUCCUUGACUUCGAUCCAACUUUGACCUGGAACCUUUUUGACGCCUUUUUGUCUCAUCUGACCCCUCAGUGAUGCAACAUCUUUCCAACUGCCUGUAGAAGCAAAAAUGUUACAGAGUAACACAUGUGCAGCAGAAUUUGAGGGAUCAAUCUCCAAAAUUUUCUCUGCGGCUCGUUUGCCAACAUCAAGAUUGUUACGUGUCUUACAAGCAGCUAACAAAGUCUUCCACACCACAAUAUCAGGAUCUAUUUCCAUUUGAUUGAUAAAAGCUUCUGCUUCUUCUAUGCAGCCAGCUCGGGCAAGCAUGUCAACCACACAGCAACAAUGCUCUCUAGUUGGUAUAAUACCAAACUCCGUUUCCAUGGCUCUGAACAACUGCCACCCUUCUUUUACUCGUCCAACAUGACUACAAGCAGUCAAAACCCCGACAAAGGUAACUUGGUUUGGCUUGACAGCUAAAUAUCUCAUCUUCUGGAAUAGGUCUAGAGCCUCUUCUCCGUAUCCAAACUGAGCAUACCCCACUAUUAAACUACUCCAUGAAACCGCAUCAGGGUUGUUCAUACUAUCAAAGAGCUUCUUAGCGCUUGUCAUAUGUCCACAUUUCACAUACAUGUCAAUUAAAGCAUUGAUGACAUAAAUAUCUUCACUUAGCCCAUUUUUCAUGGCAUAGCAACAAACCUGGUCUCCGAUUUCCAAAGAGGCUACUUUUCCAGAUGCCCCAAGCAUAUUAACUAAUGUAAUAUGAUCAGGCUUAUUAGAAGAAAGAAGCAUCAUCUUAAAUAACGAGAAGACCUCUCCAGAAUCUCGCUGUUGUAGAAAAGCUGUAAGAAUGGCAUUCCACGAGACUAAAUCUGCUUUGUUUUUUAUCUCAUUGAAAAUUUUAUGUGCAUCCGGAAGAUCUGAACAGUUGGCAUACAUUGAAAGUAAUGUAUUAGAGAUGGAAAUCUCUAAAUCAAAGCCACUCUUAAUAACAUAGCAGUGCACUUGCUUUCCUAGAAAAAGAGCACAUGGACUUACAAAGGCACAAAGUAAAGAACGAAUUGUGACAUCAUCUGGGGUCAACCUCAAAGUUCUCAUCUGAGAAAAGAGAGAUACAGCUUCAUCACGGUCACCUCCGUAUGCAAAACCCGCAAUCAGAGCAUUCCAGGACGCAAGAUCAGGAUUUCCUAUCUGGUAGAAUGCAGUUCUUGCAGAAUGCAACCAUCCACAUCUAGCAUACAUGUCAGUAACAGCGCAACCAGCAAAAGCGUCAAAACUAAGCCCAAAUUUUAUACUUAAACCAUGUACUUGUCUUCCAUAUUCUGCUUGUGCAAGACUUCUACAGACAUUAAAAAUGCUUCCAAAAAUGAAUUCGUUCAGUUUGUAAAUGCCCUGACUAAGCAUCUCCCUGAAGCAGGACAGAGCUUCUGAUUCAUAACCAAGCUGUGAAAAUCCAGCAAUCAUUGAGCUCCACGAAAUCAAAUCCUUUGAAUUAAUACGGGAGAACACUGACAAUGCCUCAUCAAUUUGAUUAAACUUUGUGUACAUCGCAAUCAAUGCAUUCUGAGCAAUAAGGUGGGAACCAUGUUCCGAUUUAAUGACAUGGCCAUGCAACUGCUUCCCUAACUCUACCUGUUUCAUAUUUGAGCAAGUUUUGAUUACACUUCCAUAUGUGAACUGGUCAGGUAUAAGACCAAACUGUCGCAUUUGAAAGUAAAGAUCUAAUGCUUCAUUCUCCUGACCAUUCUGUGAGUACCCAGCAAUUAUCGAAGUCCAAGAAACCAAAUUUCGUUCAAGCAUUUCAUCAAACACCUUACGAGCCUCCUUCAACGACCCACACUUCCCAUACAUAUUCAACAAAUGAUUUUGAAAAAUCAUGUCUGGCUGAUAAUUUGAUGCUAAAAUAUGAGUAUGAACUCUUCUUGCAUACGGUAGGGAUCUAAGAGAUGAGCACGCAGAAACUAACUGAGCAUACGUGCUUGGAUACAAAUUAUAAGUCGUGUUCCUUUCUAACAACUCAAAUGACUCUAAAGCUUGUUUAAACAAUUUUUGCUUACACAACAAGAUUAUAUGAUCAUUACUUGACUGUUCAUUCCUGAAACAAGACGGUAUCCUAUGAUUGACAUAGCACCGGAAUGAUCCUAACCUUUUUAUCAUUGUGAAAAGAUUCUCACAAUCAAUCAAUCAUUCAACUACGCGACAAUCCAAAACUAAUCGGAAUCCUCUAUAUCCACUCCUACUUACUUGAAUCUUCAUUCCAGUAUUAUUAUAUCUGCAAUAGCAAAUUCAAAAUGAAAUAUAUGAACCACACAAGUCAAUUUGCAUGUUUUAAAGUGAACAGCAAUUCGAACAAAUGUAAACAGAAAAAUCUGCUUAAAAUUUGUAAAUUUCACGCAAUGUUUAACAAUUUCUGAACUCAUUAUGUGACUCUUAAGCAUAUACGAAUUCAGCUCAAUUCAUAGUUCGUAGUUUCUAGUAAAAUAGCAUUUAACGGUGUGUGAGCAGGAAACUGAUACAAACUUUUUACGAGCAUGGAAUCUAGAGAGAGAAAUGAAAUAACUUACAAUGAGAUGUCGCCGGGAAAAGAGAUCGACGGCGAACCAGAUACGGCUACUCCGGCGUCAUUUGAAAUUGGCGGGCCAAAAUGUGUCUAGGUCCCAAUGGGUUAUGAGGCAUUUGAGCUGGUGAUUUGAAUUUGAAAAACUGGCCCAUUCUAUAUGUAAAGUAAUAUACGAUAUUAUAAAUUUUUGUAUAUCAAUAUGAUGAAAAGUAUAUCGUAAAAAUGUUAGUGAAACUUUUUUUUAAUUUGACUCUAAAGAAGAAAUUAUUACAAUCAAAAAUUGACGGAGGUAGUAUAUGUUUGUAGCUCGACCAGAUAUUGAAUACUUCAAUAUGAAAAAUAUGCUAAGUAUAUCAUAAAUUCACGGGAAAAAUGAUAAAUAUACUCCGAAUUAUCGUAAAUAAUAUAUAUAUAUCCUGUGUCAUACUUUUGGGAUAUUGGUACAUCUUUCGUCCAUAAACUAGAGCAUAUAUAUUAUUUAUACUGACGGACAUAUGCGUAUCAUAAUCUUAUCCACCAACUCGACAUUUAUUAAAUAUCGAAUCAACGCAUAAGAUUGUGUCACGUGUCUCUAUUUAGUCUUUCGUUAGAGGAAAGGUCAUAUAUGCUCGAAUAUUUAAACGACAAGAAAAUCAAUGUCUCAAAAAUUAUAAUGAGAAGUAUUAGCAUACCAUACCAUUUUUUAGAGUUCGAGGAUAUAUUUGUAUGUCUUGGUUUUCAAGUUUUUUUUUUCUUUCUUUUUUUUAAUGACUCAAAUCAUAAGAAAAUUGUAUCAUAGACGAAAUAAUAAAUAAUGUAUAAUGAAUAAAAUGAAAUAAGUUAAGUCGACACACAUAAUAAAUGAAAUAAUGACUAAACGAGGUAGGACAAGGGAAAAGAAAAAGGUUGAAAUCGGUCUAGUCAAAGUAUAACUCUAUUCAAAAUCGAAUCGAAGUUAAUAACCCCAAUAUAAAAAAAAAUUAUGAAUUUAUCAAAAGGUUACUAUUGGUUUAACGAUUUUGACAACGAUUUUAAUUUUUUUAUUAUGGAAUUGUCAGUUUUCGACGGCUUGAGACGGAUAACCCGAUAGUAAUUAAUUAACCAUAUUUAUACCAUUUGGCAUAUAAAGUUCUUGACUUAAAAUUUAAUUUCAUAUUUUUAUUUUGACAAUCUCAAACUCUCGAUUAUUCUACAAUGUGUUAGCGUUGUUUUCGAACAAAAUGCAAUCUAUGAACUUAUGUGUUUGAUUUAUUUAGUUUGUCAUAUUUUUGUGUCACAUCUUAACAGUUAAUUCAAUAAUCGAUAAAUGGAUAAUCAAUGAGUCGAUAACUUAACGGUUUAGCAUGACUAUAAACCAACAAAUCGAACAGAUUAACUUUAAAAUCGAACCUAUCGAUACACAACUCUUAUAUCGAGUUCUCAGGACCAAUUAGACAAGUUCGACAUAAUCCAAUAAUUAAAAAUGGUAUAUAAAUAGUUAAUCAAUAUAGUAUGAUUUGUGAGUUGUCGUGUCUGGUUAUUUACGACUUGCUAUACGAGUUCGACAGAAUUCAAUAGUUUAUAACACGAGACAAAUGGAGUAAUAUAUAAAUAAUUUAUUCAAAACUCGACUUACCAGCCAUGUCAUGCUAGGCAAAGCCUUCAUCCUCCACAGACUCAAAAGUUAUACCAAUAUUGACUACACAUUGUAUGGUUAUCUCUUACAAUUAUGCAAAGAACAUUGCUUGAUUCGUCAAGGCAAACAGCUCCAUGCUCGUCUUGUUCUUUCUUCAACGAUCCCAAGCAACUUCCUUGCUUCAAAACUCAUCAAUUUCUACUCAAGAAAUGAACAUUUGAAAGAAGCACACCAUGUGUUUGAUGAAAUACCUGAGAGAAAUACAUUUUCUUGGAAUGCCCUUCUAAUUGGUUACUCUUCUAAGAAUUACCAUGUAGAAACUCUAAAGUUGUUUUCUUUGUUUUUAUCUGAGAAUUUUGAGACACCCCAUGUGAAGCCUGAUAAUUUUACAGUGACUUGUGUGUUAAAAGCUGUUUCUGGGGUGUUGGGGGACUCUGUUUUGGCUAAGAUGAUUCAUUGUUAUGUUUUAAAAAAUGGGUUUGAUUCAGAUGUGUAUGUAUUGAAUGGUUUGAUUGAUUCUUACUCGAAAACGGGUGAUUUGGUAUUGGCGAAAAAUGUGUUUGAUGAAGUUCCUGAAAGGGAUGUAGUGUCGUGGAAUUCGAUGAUAUCGGGUUAUUUUCAAUGUGGGUUUUAUGAGGAAUGCAAAGGAUUAUAUAGAGAAAUGCUGCAUUUAGAAAAGUUUAGACCUGGUGGGGUUACGGUGGUGAGUGUUCUACAAGCUUGUGCACAGUCGAAUGAUCUUAUGUUAGGAAUGGAAGUUCACCGGUAUGUUAUAGAAAACGGGAUUGAACUUGACAUUGCAGUUUAUAACUCGAUUGUUGCACUGUAUUCAAA
rnacentral:lncRNA from 1 species